AUUGAACGCUGGCGGCAGGCUUAACACAUGCCAGUCGAGCGGGGAAGAGUAGCUUGCUCCUUGACCUAGCGGCGGACGGGUGAGUAAUGCUUAGGAAUCUGCCUAUUAGUGGGGGACAACAUCUCGAAAGGGAUGCUAAUACCGCAUACGUCCUACGGGAGAAAGCAGGGGACCUUCGGGCCUUGCGCUAAUAGAUGAGCCUAAGUCGGAUUAGCUAGUUGGUGGGGUAAAGGCCUACCAAGGCGACGAUCUGUAGCGGGUCUGAGAGGAUGAUCCGCCACACUGGGACUGAGACACGGCCCAGACUCCUACGGGAGGCAGCAGUGGGGAAUAUUGGACAAUGGGGGGAACCCUGAUCCAGCCAUGCCGCGUGUGUGAAGAAGGCCUUUUGGUUGUAAAGCACUUUAAGCGAGGAGGAGGCUACCGAGAUUAAUACUCUUGGAUAGUGGACGUUACUCGCAGAAUAAGCACCGGCUAACUCUGUG
rnacentral:rRNA from 1 species